rnacentral:rRNA from 1 species
GGGUUGUGAGGUUAAGCGACUAAGCGUACACGGUGGAUGCCCUGGCAGUCAGAGGCGAUGAAGGACGUGCUAAUCUGCGAAAAGCGUCGGUAAGGUGAUAUGAACCGUUAUAACCGGCGAUGUCCGAAUGGGGAAACCCAGUGUGAUUCGUCACACUAUCGUUAACUGAAUACAUAGGUUAACGAGGCGAACCGGGGGAACUGAAACAUCUAAGUACCCCGAGGAAAAGAAAUCAACCGAGAUUCCCCCAGUAGCGGCGAGCGAACGGGGAGCAGCCCAGAGUCUGAAUCAGCUUGUGUGUUAGUGGAACGGUCUGGAAAGUCCGACGGUACAGGGUGAUAGUCCCGUACACCAAAAUGCACAGGUUGUGAACUCGAAGAGUAGGGCGGGACACGUGGUAUCCUGUCUGAAUAUGGGGGGACCAUCCUCCAAGGCUAAAUACUCCUGACUGACCGAUAGUGAACCAGUACCGUGAGGGAAAGGCGAAAAGAACCCCGGCGAGGGGAGUGAAAAAGAACCUGAAACCGUGUACGUACAAGCAGUGGGAGCACCUUCGGGUGUGACUGCGUACCUUUUGUAUAAUGGGUCAGCGACUUAUAUUCUGUAGCAAGGUUAACCGUAUAGGGGAGCCGCAGGGAAACCGAGUCUUAACUGGGCGUUAAGUUGCAGGGUAUAGACCCGAAACCCGGUGAUCUAGCCAUGGGCAGGUUGAAGGUUGGGUAACACUAACUGGAGGACCGAACCGACUAAUGUUGAAAAAUUAGCGGAUGACUUGUGGCUGGGGGUGAAAGGCCAAUCAAACCGGGAGAUAGCUGGUUCUCCCCGAAAGCUAUUUAGGUAGCGCCUCGUGAAUUCAUCUUCGGGGGUAGAGCACUGUUUCGGCUAGGGGGUCAUCCCGACUUACCAACCCGAUGCAAACUACGAAUACCGAAGAAUGUUAUCACGGGAGACACACGGCGGGUGCUAACGUCCGUCGUGAAGAGGGAAACAACCCAGACCGCCAGCUAAGGUCCCAAAGUCAUGGUUAAGUGGGAAACGAUGUGGGAAGGCACAGACAGCCAGGAUGUUGGCUUAGAAGCAGCCAUCAUUUAAAGAAAGCGUAAUAGCUCACUGGUCGAGUCGGCCUGCGCGGAAGAUGUAACGGGGCUAAACCAUGCACCGAAGCUGCGGCAGCGACACUAUGUGUUGUUGGGUAGGGGAGCGUUCUGUAAGCCUGCGAAGGUGACCUGUGAGGGUUGCUGGAGGUAUCAGAAGUGCGAAUGCUGACAUAAGUAACGAUAAAGCGGGUGAAAAGCCCGCUCGCCGGAAGACCAAGGGUUCCUGUCCAACGUUAAUCGGGGCAGGGUGAGUCGACCCCUAAGGCGAGGCCGAAAGGCGUAGUCGAUGGGAAACAGGUUAAUAUUCCUGUACUUGGUGUUACUGCGAAGGGGGGACGGAGAAGGCUAUGUUAGCCGGGCGACGGUUGUCCCGGUUUAAGCAUGUAGGCUGGUUGUCCAGGCAAAUCCGGAUAAUCAAGGCUGAGGUGUGAUGACGAGGCACUACGGUGCUGAAGUAACAAAUGCCCUGCUUCCAGGAAAAGCCUCUAAGCAUCAGGUAACAUUAAAUCGUACCCCAAACCGACACAGGUGGUCAGGUAGAGAAUACCAAGGCGCUUGAGAGAACUCGGGUGAAGGAACUAGGCAAAAUGGUGCCGUAACUUCGGGAGAAGGCACGCUGGUGUGUAGGUGAAGUCCCUGCGGAUGGAGCUGAGACCAGUCGAAGAUACCAGCUGGCUGCAACUGUUUAUUAAAAACACAGCACUGUGCAAACACGAAAGUGGACGUAUACGGUGUGACGCCUGCCCGGUGCCGGAAGGUUAAUUGAUGGGGUUAUCCGUAAGGAGAAGCUCUUGAUCGAAGCCCCGGUAAACGGCGGCCGUAACUAUAACGGUCCUAAGGUAGCGAAAUUCCUUGUCGGGUAAGUUCCGACCUGCACGAAUGGCGUAAUGAUGGCCAGGCUGUCUCCACCCGAGACUCAGUGAAAUUGAACUCGCUGUGAAGAUGCAGUGUACCCGCGGCAAGACGGAAAGACCCCGUGAACCUUUACUAUAGCUUGACACUGAACAUUGAGCCUUGAUGUGUAGGAUAGGUGGGAGGCUUUGAAGCGUGGACGCCAGUCUGCGUGGAGCCAACCUUGAAAUACCACCCUUUAAUGUUUGAUGUUCUAACGUUGGCCCCUGACCGGGGUUGCGGACAGUGUCUGGUGGGUAGUUUGACUGGGGCGGUCUCCUCCCAAAGCGUAACGGAGGAGCACGAAGGUUAGCUAAUCCUGGUCGGACAUCAGGAGGUUAGUGCAAUGGCAUAAGCUAGCUUGACUGCGAGCGUGACGGCGCGAGCAGGUGCGAAAGCAGGUCAUAGUGAUCCGGUGGUUCUGAAUGGAAGGGCCAUCGCUCAACGGAUAAAAGGUACUCCGGGGAUAACAGGCUGAUACCGCCCAAGAGUUCAUAUCGACGGCGGUGUUUGGCACCUCGAUGUCGGCUCAUCACAUCCUGGGGCUGAAGUAGGUCCCAAGGGUAUGGCUGUUCGCCAUUUAAAGUGGUACGCGAGCUGGGUUUAGAACGUCGUGAGACAGUUCGGUCCCUAUCUGCCGUGGGCGCUGGAGAAUUGAGGGGGGCUGCUCCUAGUACGAGAGGACCGGAGUGGACGCAUCACUGGUGUUCGGGUUGUCAUGCCAAUGGCACUGCCCGGUAGCUAAAUGCGGAAGAGAUAAGUGCUGAAAGCAUCUAAGCACGAAACUUGCCCCGAGAUGAGUUCUCCCUGAGACUUUAAGUCUCCUGAAGGAACGUUGAAGACGACGACGUUGAUAGGCCGGGUGUGUAAGCGCAGCGAUGCGUUGAGCUAACCGGUACUAAUGAACCGUGAGGCUUAACCUUACAACGCCGAAG